CCUACGGGGGGCAGCAGUCGAGAAUCAUUCACAAUGGGGGAAACCCUGAUGGUGCGACGCCGCGUGGGGGAAUGAAGGUCUUCGGAUUGUAAACCCCUGUCAUGUGGGAGCAAAUUAAAAAGAUAGUACCACAAGAGGAAGAGACGGCUAACUCUGUGCCAGCAGCCGCGGUAAUACAGAGGUCUCAAGCGUUGUUCGGAAUCACUGGGCGUAAAGCGUGCGUAGGCUGUUUCGUAAGUCGUGUGUGAAAGGCCCGGGCUCAACCCGCGGACGGCACAUGAUACUGCGAGACUAGAGUAAUGGAGGGGGAACCGGAAUUCUCGGUGUAGCAGUGAAAUGCGUAGAUAUCGAGAGGAACACUCGUGGCGAAGGCGGGUUCCUGGACAUUAACUGACGCUGAGGCACGAAGGCCAGGGGAGCGAAAGGGAUUAGAUACCCCAGUAGUC
rnacentral:rRNA from 1 species